AGGCCCCAACCAGCCGAAGGAAGCAGAGCAACCCAGGAGCUGGCAGCCUCGGAUGGCCGGCUCCUGCCAGAGUUCAACAUGGCGGA
rnacentral:sRNA from 1 species